CUAUAAAGAACUUAUCAAACUCAACACCCAAAAAACAAAUAAUUCAGUGAAAAAAUGGGCAAAAGACAUGAAUAGACACUUCUCCAAAGAAGACAUCCAGAUGGCCAACUGACACAUGAAAAAAUGCUCAACAUCACUUGUCAUCAGGGAAAUAGAAAUCAAAACCACAAUGAAAUACCACCUUACACCUGUCAGAAUGGCUAACAUUAACAAGUCAGGCAACAACAGAUGUUGGCGAGGGUGCGGAGAAAGAGGAUCUCUUUUACAUUGUUGGUGGGAAUGCAAGCUGGUGCAGCCACUCUGGAAAACAGUAUGGAGGUUCCUCAAAAAACUAAAAAUAGAACUACCCUAUGACCCAGCAAUUGCACUACUAGGCAUUUAUCCACGGGAUACAGGUGUGCUGUUUCGAAGGGACACAUGCACCCCCAUGUUUAUAGCAGCAUUAUCAACAAUAGCCAAAGGAUGGAAAGAGCCCAAAUGUCCAUCGAUGGAUAAAUGGAUAAAGAA